CCUUUUUUUAAAUCUUGAAAGUGAAUUUUGCAGAAAACUAUGAGGAUGCCAAGAAAAGAUCCAUUCUGACAAAAGAAACAUCUGAUUUGAAUGACAUCUCUCUUCUACAUUAAGUAAGAAGGGCAGACUAAAAAGGACCUUUUUAAGUUCUGAGGAAGAAACUCUGCUGUUAAAAAAGGCUGAGAAAGCCACCACAUCUUUGCCCCUUAAGGUUUCUAAGGACUUAAGACUUUUGGGCAAAGCCUGUCAAACAAGAAUUGAAAAUGGAAAGAUUGUUAUAAUCAUUUAAUGAAUAGAUGUUUUAGUUGAGAUGAUAAAACAUCAUUGCUUAUUUUAAAACUAUAUUUUCUUCUUCAGAAUCUACAAUCACUAUAUUUUGAAAACCCUGGUGAAAGUUAUAAAGCACCAGGUGAUGUCACUUUCUGGAUUACAUGACACCAUCCAGCAACUUAGGGAUGAAAUAGCACAGUGGGCGCAUGUGAUAACCUCACUGCAACCUCCACUAGUGGAAGAAAAUGUUGCAGUGAGCCUGCCUCUUUCUAGCUUGAAAGAAUUUGAUAGCCAUGAGAAGAAGUUAUCUUAUAAUAAUGUACAGAAAGUUUAUGAUUGGCGAAUUGUCUCAUUUUGGCGGACUUUACAUAAAACUCAUGGUAAAUAAACUAUUGGACAAGGUUAUGACUACAACACUCCAAUGUGAAUUCAAUUGGGCAGGAAAACCAGGCUGGACAGAGAAUGGAAUGGCAAGGAGACAGAGAAUGGAAUGGCAAGGAGAGGGUUUCAAAAGUGUCAACUGUUAUGCAUUAUAAUUACAGGUCAGUGUAAUCUACUAUAUCCCUAUAUUUUGUCAGCUUAUUAGUAAAAGUAAUGAAUGCAUUUCAAUGCAGUACUUAAACAUGUUGUAAAGAAUUGUUUGUACAUUUCAAGCAGAUGUAUUAUUUUAGUUUGUAAUUUAGACACUUUAUUUGUAAAUAUCUAAUUAGUGGUAGAAAUAAAAAUGUCAUAUUCUUACAUCAAAUAGCUGAUGCCAUUGUUUCUUUUCUGGGUAGGAAGCUUGCUAAAUAUUUUAAUGACUUCCGUAAUUCAAUCUAAACUUUUUAAAGCUAGCUCGAAUGAAGAAAAUAUUUUCAUGCAUAAAAGUAUAUCUAAGGAACGCACAUGACAGGCAAGGUGGUAGACAGAAGAAUGGAGACAGGUAUGGCAAUUUUUAAAUUCAUUUUUAUAUAAGCGUGGU
rnacentral:sRNA from 1 species